rnacentral:rRNA from 1 species
UCUUUCCGAGGCUCUGCAAUCGGAAUGAGUACACUCUAAAUCAUUUAACGAGUAUCCAUUGGAGGGCAAGUCUGGUGCCAGCAGCCGCGGUAAUUCCAGCUCCAAUAGCGUAUAUUAAAGUUGUUGCGGUUAAAAAGCUCGUAGUUGGAUCUGUGUUCCACUCUGUCGGUUCGUUGCCCGUCAGCGUUUAACUGGCAUGUAAGUGGAACGUCCUGCCGGUUGGUAAGGUGUGCCUGAAAGGGUGCAUUUUUGCCAGUCCAAUCCUGUCGCGGUGCUCUUUAUUGAGUGUCGAGGCAGGCCGGCACGUUUACUUUGAACAAAUUUGAGUGCUUAAAGCAGGCUUUUACGCCUGAAAACUGUUUGCAUGGAAUAAUGGAAUAGGACCUCGGUUCUAUUUUGUUGGUUUUCGGAGCCCGAGGUAAUGAUUAAUAGGGACAGGCGGGGGCAUUAGUAUUGCGACGUUAGAGGUGAAAUUCUUGGAUCGUCGCAAGACUGACCUAAGCGAAAGCAUUUGCCAAGGAUGCUUCCAUUAAUCAAGAACGAAAGUUAGAGGUUCGAAGGCGAUCAGAUACCGCCCUAGUUCUAACCAUAAACGAUGCCAGCCAGCGAUCCGUCGAAGUUCCUCCGAUGACUCGACGGGCAGCUUCCGGGAAACUAAAGCUUUUAGGUUCCGGGGGAAGUAUGGUU